GGGCAUCAUUUAUUCAUGAGAGAUCCACCUCCAAGACUCAAACAUCUCCUGUUAGGUCCAGCCUCCGACGUUGGGGAUCAAAUUUCAACAUGAGGUUUGGAGGCAGCAAACAUCCAAACCUUAGCAACAUCUUUCUUUGUUUUGCAUAAAGUUCAUAUGGUCUUUGUUUGUUUGUUUGUUUUAGAGACAAGGCCUUACUGCACUGCCCAGGCUGGUCUCAAACCCCUGGGCUCAAGCAAUCUGCCUGCCUUGGCCUCCCAAAGUGCUGGGAUUACAGUUUCUUCUACCAGCAAAACCUAACAGGAAAACAGAUGGUAAAGGAUAAAAGUGUUUGCGGAAUCCUAGUCCCAGCAUCACAGAGCUAGAAGAGAAGGUUUGAAGCUGAGAGACAAUGGCUUAGUAACUAACACAGAGAUGCCACAUGUAGAUAAAAAAAGGAGAAGAAAAAUCUAAAGACUGAGUUAUGAGAGAAAAACUGGAAGUCACAGAAAUUAAAACUCAGUUUUAAUUUCAUGAUGUGACAAGCUCCAUGCCAAUUUUUUCUAUUAAGAUAAUAUAUUCAGUGUUUUGAGAAUUCAAGGCAUUUGAAAAUCUUUUCAACAAGAAGAAUAUAAAAAAAGGACACAGAG
rnacentral:lncRNA from 13 species